rnacentral:rRNA from 1 species
AUUGAACGCUGGCGGCAUGCCUUACACAUGCAAGUCGAACGGUAACGGGCCUUCGGGUGCCGACGAGUGGCGAACGGGUGAGUAAUACAUCGGAACGUGCCCGAUCGUGGGGGAUAACGAGGCGAAAGCUUUGCUAAUACCGCAUACGAUCUACGGAUGAAAGCAGGGGACCGCAAGGCCUUGCGCGGACGGAGCGGCCGAUGGCAGAUUAGGUAGUUGGUGGGAUAAAAGCUUACCAAGCCGACGAUCUGUAGCUGGUCUGAGAGGAUGAUCAGCCACACUGGGACUGAGACACGGCCCAGACUCCUACGGGAGGCAGCAGUGGGGAAUUUUGGACAAUGGGCGCAAACCUGAUCCAGCCAUGCCGCGUGCAGGAUGAAGGCCUUCGGGUUGUAAACUGCUUUUGUACGGAACGAAAAGCCUUCUUUUAAUACAGGAGGGUCAUGACGGUACCGUAAGAAUAAGCACCGGCUAACUACGUG